rnacentral:rRNA from 1 species
CCUACGGGUGGCAGCAGUGAGGAAUAUUGGUCAAUGGUCGGGAGACUGAACCAGCCAAGCCGCGUGCGGGAGGAAGGUACAGAGUAUCGUAAACCUCUUUUGUCAGGGAACAAAGACUGGGACGCGUCCCCGGAUGAGUGUACCUGAAGAAAAAGCAUCGGCUAACUCCGUGCCAGCAGCCGCGGUAAUACGGAGGAUGCGAGCGUUAUCCGGAUUUAUUGGGUUUAAAGGGUGCGGAGGCGGUUUGUUAAGUCAGCGGUGAAAGCCCGGGGCUCAACCCCAGCCUCGCAGUUGAUACUGGCAGUCGUGAGUAGAGGAGAGGUAUGCGGAAGGCGCGGUGUAGCGGUGAAAUGCAUAGAUAUCGCGCAGAACUCCGAUUGCGAAGGCAGCAGGCCAGCUCGACACUGACGCUGAGGCACGAAAGCGUGGGUAUCGAACAGGAUUAGAUACCCCAGUAGUC